GAGGGAGGCCCCGCCAUGGCGGCGCCGCAGAGCUGCGGGCCCGCGGCCGCCCUGCCCUUAAUAGGAAGUUUCGCCCCCGCGCUGCCCGGACGCAGCCCGGGGAAGCGGGAUCGGGGGAGCUGCCGGGAGGGUUCCUGCCCCGCCGGCUUUGCUGUGCUGGGGGCCGGCUCUAUCCAGCGCUCCGUGUGGGGCGAGCCCGGAGAAGGGCGGCGGAGCUGGGGAAGGGUCUGGAGCGCGUGUGCUGUGAGGGGCGGCCGGGGCAGCGCAGCCCGGAGGAGCGGAGGCUCAGGCGGCCCUCACGGCUCUCCGCAAGUCCCUGACAGGAGGGCGCGGCCGGGUGCGAGUCGGGCUCUGGGCAACCAGCAUGAGGACACGGCCUUCAGCUGCGCCCGGGGAGGAAAAUCUUCACUGACGAUCCAGUUUGUGGAAGGACAGUUUGUUGAUUCAUAUGAUCCAACCAUAGAGAACACUUUUACAAAACUGAUCACAGUAAAUGGCCAAGAAUAUCAUCUUCAGCUGGUUGACACUGCUGGCCAGGAUGAAUACUCCAUAUUUCCUCAGACGUACUCCAUAGACAUCAAUGGCUACAUUCUUGUUUAUUCAGUCACGUCAAUAAAAAGUUUUGAAGUGAUAAAAGUUAUCCAUGGCAAGUUAUUGGAUAUGGUGGGAAAAGUCCAUUCUGAACUUUCUUUCACAGAAUACCCAUUAUGCUGGUUGGAAAUAAAAAAGACCUGCAUAUGGAACGGGUGAUCAGCUAUGAAGAAGGGAAAGCUUUAGCAGAAUCCUGGAACGCAGCUUUCUUGGAAUCUUCUGCUAAAGAAAAUCAGACUGCCGUUGAUGUUUUUAAGAGGAUAAUUUUGGAGGCAGAAAAAAUCGAUGGGGCAGCUUCACAAGGGAAGUCUUCAUGCUCAGUAAUGUAAUUCCACUGCAGAACCUGAAAACACUGGGAAUACAUUCUACCUGAAGAAGCAAAACUGCCCAUUAUCUUUAAGGAUAAACUAUGCUUCUUUUUUUUUUUUUUCCCUUUUUUUUUUUUUUUUUUUUUUCUUCUGUUAACCUGAAAGAUAAACAGUUGGUUUGGAGCCUUUCCCUUCAGAUUAUGUUAAACUCUGACUCCUGUGCAAAUGGCUUCACUUCCAUUUUUCAAAUUUUAAGCAAUCAUAUUUUCAAUUUAUAUAUUGUAUUUCUUAAUAUUAUGACCAAGAAUUUUACUGGCAUUAAUUUUUCAGUGUAGUUUGUUGGUUAGAAUAAUCAUCAAAAUGAUGCAUAUUGUUACACUACUAUUAACUAGGCUUGGAUAUCAGUGUUUCUUUGUGUUAAAUGUAUACUUGUAAAUAAAAUAGCUGCAAACCUUAAAUGUUCUGUUUAUAAUUUUUCGUUGAUUACUCCAUAUCAACUUUUUUUUUUUUGUGAAAAAUGUUCACCUGCUGACCUUAAGAGGAGGCGUGAGAUCCUUGGAGCCAAUGGAUUGUUUGACUAUUGCUCGGGAAGUUGUUUGCGAGUGAUCCCAAACGUUUUUGCUACUGGAACUCCAGGCUGGCCAAGCAGCUCUGCUUUGCUUUGUGCAGAGCAGAGGGAAGAGAGACAAGUGCCAGCUUUAUUUGGAAGUCCUGGGUUUCAGUCAGAACCUGCUCUGUGUUUUCCCUCUGUAAGCGCUGAGUGAAGGGCGCCCCGAGUUCCCGCGCUACGGACUGUUCACGCAGACUUGUGACUGGGAGUGCUGGCAGGAUGGAGUGGAUUUAUCCAGGUCACAAGCGUAGACUUGUUAAGAGAACAAAAAUGUCAUUUAAAAUAAAUUGCACGUCCUGAACAAA